UACGUAGGGCGCAAGCGUUGUCCGGAAUUAUUGGGCGUAAAGAGCUCGUAGGCGGUCUGUCGCGUCGGUUGUGAAAACACAAGGCUCAACCUUGUGCCUGCAAUCGAUACGGGCAGACUAGAGUACUGCAGGGGAGACUGGAAUUCCUGGUGUAGCGGUGGAAUGCGCAGAUAUCAGGAGGAACACCGGUGGCGAAGGCGGGUCUCUGGGCAGUAACUGACGCUGAGGAGCGAAAGCGUGGGGAGCGAACAGG
rnacentral:rRNA from 1 species